AGGACGAACGCUGGCGGCGUGCCUAAUACAUGCAAGUCGAACGGUCUUUCUAUGGAAGCUUGCUUCCACUGAAAAGAUAGUGGCGAACGGGUGAGUAACACGUGGGUAACCUGCCCAUAAGAGGGGGAUAACAUCCGGAAACGGGUGCUAAUACCGCAUAGUUUUCUUGAUCGCAUGAUCGGGAAAGGAAAGACGGCCUUUGUGCUGUCGCUUAUGGAUGGACCCGCGGCGUAUUAGUUAGUUGGUGGGGUAACGGCUCACCAAGACGAUGAUACGUAGCCGACCUGAGAGGGUGAUCGGCCACAUUGGGACUGAGACACGGUCCAAACUCCUACGGGAGGCAGCAGUAGGGAAUCUUCCGCAAUGGACGAAAGUCUGACGGAGCAACGCCGCGUGAGUGAAGAAAGGUUUUCGGAUCGUAAAACUCUGUUGUCAGAGAAGAACAAGUUGGAGAGUAACUGCUCCAGCCUUGACGGUAUCUGACCAGAAAGCCACGGCUAACUACGUGCCAGCAGCGGC
rnacentral:rRNA from 1 species